UUCCGGUUGAUCCUGCCGGACCUGACUGCUAUCGGAUUGAUACUAAGCCAUGCGAGUCAUUGUAGCAAUACAAGGCAUACGGCUCAGUAACGCGUAGUCAACCUAACCUAUGGACGGGAAUAACCUCGGGAAACUGAGAAUAAUGCCCGAUAGAACAUUAUGCCUGGAAUGGUUUAUGUUCCAAAUGAUUUAUCGCCAUAGGAUGGGACUGCGGCCUAUCAGUUUGUUGGUGAGGUAAUGGCCCACCAAGACUAUUACAGGUACGGGCUCUGAGAGGAGUAGCCCGGAGAUGGGUACUGAGACACGGACCCAGGCCCUAUGGGGCGCAGCAGGCGAGAAAACUUUGCAAUGUGCGAAAGCACGACAAGGUUAAUCCGAGUGAUUUCUGCUAAAGAGAUCUUUUGUUAGUCCUAGAACCACUAACGAAUAAGGGGUGGGCAAGUUCUGGUGUCAGCCGCCGCGGUAAAACCAGCACCUCAAGUGGUCAGGAUGAUUAUUGGGCCUAAAGCAUCCGUAGCCGGCUCUGUAAGUUUUCGGUUAAAUCUGUACGCUCAACGUACAGGCUGCCGGGAAUACUGCAGAACUAGGGAGUGGGAGAGGUAGACGGUACUCGGUAGGAAGUGGUAAAAUGCUUUGAUCUAUCGAUGACCACCUGUGGCGAAGGCGGUCUACCAGAACACGUCCGACGGUGAGGGAUGAAAGCUGGGGGAGCAAACCGGAUUAGAUACCCGGGUAGUCCCAGCUGUAAACUAUGCAAACUCAGUGAUGCAUUGGCUUGUGGCCAAUGCAGUGCUGCAGGGAAGCCGUUAAGUUUGCCGCCUGGGAAGUACGUACGCAAGUAUGAAACUUAAAGGAAUUGGCGGGGGAGCACCACAAGGGGUGAAGCCUGUGGUUCAAUUGGAUUCAACGCCGGG
rnacentral:rRNA from 1 species